GACGAACGCUGGCGGCGUGCUUAACACAUGCAAGUCGAACGAAAAGGCCCUGCUCUUGUUGGGUGCUCGUGUGGCGCACGCGUGAGUAACACGCGAGUAACCUGCCCUUGACUUUGUGAUAACUUCAGGAAACUGGGGCGCAUACCGGAUAUGAUCUCCUGCUGCAUGGUGGUGGUUGGUAAGUUUCGGCGGUUGGGGAUGUUCUCGCGGCGUAUUAGCCUGUUGGUAAGGUAGUGGCUUACCAAGGCUACGACGGGUAGCCGGCGUGAGAGGGUGAUCGGCCACACUGGAACUGAGACACGGUCCAGACUCCUACGGGAGGCAGCAGUAGGGAAUCUUCCGCAAUGGGCGAAAGCCUGACGGAGCAACGCCGCGUGAGUGAUGAAGGUCUUCGGAUCGUAAAACUCUGUUAUUAGGGAAGAACAAAUGUGUAAGUAACUAUGCACGUCUUGACGGUACCUAAUCAGAAAGCCACGGCUAACUACGUG
rnacentral:rRNA from 1 species